GACGAACGCUGGCGGCGUGCUUAACACAUGCAAGUCGAACGGUGAAGCUCCAGCUUGCUGGAGUGGAUCAGUGGCGAACGGGUGAGUAACACGUGAGCAACCUGCCCCUGACUCUGGAAUAAGCGCUGGAAACGGCGUCUAAUACUGGAUACGAGAAGGGUCCGCAUGGGCACUUUCUGGAAAGUUUUUCGGUUGGGGAUGGGCUCGCGGCCUAUCAGCUUGUUGGUGAGGUAAUGGCUACCCAAGGCGACGGAGGGUAGCCGGCCGGAGAGGGCGACCGGCCACACUGGGACUGAGGCACGGCCCAGACUCCUACGGGAGGCAGCAGUGGGGAAUAUUGCACAAUGGGCGAAAGCCUGAUGCAGCGACGCCGCGUGAGGGAUGACGGCCUUCGGGUUGUAAACCUCUUUCAGCAGGGAAGAAGCGAAAGUGACGGUACCUGCAGAAGAAGCACCGGCUAACUACGUG
rnacentral:rRNA from 1 species